rnacentral:rRNA from 1 species
UACGGGGGGGAGCAAGCGUUGUUCGGAUUUACUGGGCGUAAAGGGCGCGUAGGCGGCCACCGCAAGUCGAUUGUGAAAUCUCCGGGCUUAACCCGGAAAGGUCAACCGAUACUGCGGGGCUAGAGUGCAGAAGGGGGCAACUGGAAUUCUCGGUGUAGCGGUGAAAUGCGUAGAUAUCGGAAGGAACACCAGUGGCGAAAGCGGCUUCCUGGUCCAGCAUCGACGUCAGGCACGAAAGCGUGGGGGAGCAAACAGG